CCAAUUACGUGUACGUGUCGUCUAGUUGCUGAUUUGUCGAGCGUAGUGUGUCGCGUUAACGGUUUAACUGCGCCGGCGGUUCGUAACGACUCUGAAGAAAAUUCGCGUAUUUCGUGUAGAUAACGCUGCGGCAUUGGUACAAAAUACCACGACAACGAGAAAAUAUCGAGGUAAUUUCGUGGAGAACAAUUCGUACGGCACCAUCAUCGUACCAAGUCCAAUUAACGAGAACAUUUUUCAAGGCCUAUCCAGCCGCAGUAUCGCAUUUCGGAUAUGUCGCGAAAACGCUAUAAACUACGGAACGAAACGAUCGCCCCUGUUUCUCGCUUCUUUGUCACCGUUUGCCUCCCAGCUGCUUCGUGCCUGGCGAACCUUGUCGCCGACAUUUGGAUUCACCAUUAAACAUGGUUCUCGGUUUUUAUCUUAAUGGAUAUCUAGUUGGAUCUUGGAAACGUGAAUCGCGGGGAAUCGUUGGAGACGAGGGAGACUUCGCAUCGAAUUUUUCUCCGGAUAAUCAAUGAACGGAGGGCUUCUCCACGAUGGGUGUUAUUCGAGGCAGCUGGGCAUCGCCAAGACGUUCCAACCGUGAGUCCGAUGAGACGAAGGACUCACACACACACACACACACACCGACGUACACGUUCUCACAGACAGGUUCGCGCGUCAUUUUCCAAAAGGGCAACUAUCGGUCAGCUGCGUCGUGCCGGGGUUGCGGUUAAUCCAGUCCGUUGGUCCGCGGUCGUGGUCGUGGUCGUGGUCGUGGUCGCGGCGUUGGUCGUGGUCGGCAUCGUGCUCGCGGCCGGUCGUAGACAAGGUGGGUGGCAAGGUUGAAGCACACAUGUUGAGAAGCACGCUAAGAGAAUACGAAGAGAGAGAGAGAGAGAGAGAGAGAGAAAAGAGGAGGAGGAGAGAAGCGAAGGAGGACCAGGAAGCAUAUCGGAGGAUGUGGCGGAGGAGGAGGAGGAGGAAGAGCAGAGAAGCGGGCAAGCGCAAGCGCCCGUCCGAUCGAUGCCCGUCUCCCGCUCGUAUAAAGCGCUCGUCCUCGGGGGGCGCGCGACAGUUGGCGUUCCGCAUUCGGAACAUGCGCCGCGUCGCGGUCACAUCGUGUCUCCUUGUCUAUCGCAGACCAACGUCCUUAUCCGUAUCGUUUCCGCUGGCUGGCUCGCGAGAUAAGUAAACGUCCUUGGGGCUACCGCGUCCGUAAACACCGCCCGAGGUAUUCGCCGUGUGACGUCGCAGAUGUGACGACCUCGAUUGCCGCCAGUUUGUCGUGGUAAACGGUGGUCCGCGUGUGCUUCUUCCAUUUUACGCUCGCCGAAGAAUCGCUCUCGGCACUCUCGGCACUCUCGGCACUCGCCUCGAAUCAUCGAUAAGUGAUCGUUUCCCCAAAGGGGUGAAGGGGGAAAAAAGAAAAGAAAGUGUAGGAAACUGCAGACAGAAGCUCUCUCUGUCUCUCUCGGUGAGAAGAUAAGUGAAGAUCGGGGACCAAGAUACCGAGCGUGGGACCAUCACGACGCAGCCGGUGGUGAUCGGCGCGUGUGUGUCUUCAGGAAGAGCGUCUCCGAGGACCGAUGUCCAGGCUUGGCGCGAUUGUCCCGCAGACGACGGUUUGACCAGCCACACAGGCUGACAUUUUUCGUUCGAUUAAAACGAGUGGCGACGCGCGUUCUCGUACGCAGCAACGAUUCGGCCGAUCGGUCGGUGGUCGGACGUCGCGCGUCGCAGCACGACGAAGCCGCGGCUUGAUUACUGGCUCGUAUCUCGCGACGUGUCACCGACAUUCGUCCCGGGCGAGAUACAUCCGGGCAGGCGUCAGAGCGGCGGUCGCUGGACCGUCCGGCGGACGUCUCGACCGCCGUACGGCGAACCGCUGGAGCCAGGAGGUGGAGAAGGAGGGGCUGUGGAGGUGGUGGAGGAGGAAGGCCCGCGGACGUGCAACAAGUUAAGAGGCCGCCGCCGCCGCUACCGUCGACAUCGCUGCCGCCGCCACCGUCCUCGCCACGAUGUGACAUGGAUAUCCUAGCCGUAGCCUGCGCCAUCGUCGCCACGGCCCUCUACUGCAACACCCUGCAGGCCGGUUUCGUCUACGAUGAUCGGUGAGUCUC